AAUUAAUUAAUUUGGAACCGGCCUCCUCCAUUUUGUUAGAAUUGUUAUGCUGCCUUCUGCAUCCCUAUUCACUCUCCUCUUCUCUCUGACUCUCUCAUCUCUCCUCUCUCCUCUCUCCUCUCUCACUUUCUCGCACCUUUUUUUACCUUCAAUGGCGACGAUGUUAGCUCAGAAAUCUCUUCACGCUAUUCGUUCUCAUUAGCUCUUCAUCCUCUUUGAUAAAACCCUAAACAAGGAAACAAACUCGUCGACACCGAAGCAACGUUGUUCUCUCCGGUGAUUCCAAAACUUCGUUCUUCAAUAGUCCGGUUGCAGUCUCGCAUAAUGGUUAGCUUUCAGGCUUCCCAAUACUUUAAUCUGAGAGCAGAAAAUUGCAUUAUCCCACGGAUAUGAGAUUAUUAACUGGUAAUACAUUUGCCUUUUGUAAUAUACUCCUGCAGUUCCUAAAUAAUAAGCCACGUUUGAUCUGAUAUUAUUUUUUAGGAAACAUAGCAUAACUUUUGCUCUUUUUCCAGCUUUUCAUUCUUUUCUAUUAAAUCUUCACCAUAUCACCAAAAAGGUAGUAUUCCACUAAAACUAUUAGUAAGAAUAUCAUUAAGUAUGCUAUGAGAAGUUUUAGUUACAACUUACUAUCUAGAAUGACUUCUUUUUUUCCGAAACGACCCAAUUAAGGAUGGAUAUACUAUAUUCCUAUCUGAUUCAUCAGUCCUUCACUCAAAGUAGCUUACUUGAUUAGGUUCUUUUUAAGUUUUUUAAUGCUAAUGUUGCAAACUUUUUCAUCUGGCUAUGCUUAAUCUUAGUUUUGACUUGUUAUUAGCUUGUAAAUUUGUUGCAUUUUUACUCUUUUUGAGCUAAACUCUUGUGGGAAAUUAUUUUUUUCCAUCUAUAAAUUUGAUCAAAUCUUUAUACUAAAGUCCCUGCUUCUCUAUUUACUCCGAAGGAAGUAUAUGUUUUUGCACCUAGCUGCCCCACAACUAUAUUAUGCUGAGUUAUAUGUAUUAUUCUGAAUCUACCGUUCUGUUGCUACACAAUAAUAUAUGGCAAAAGGCAUUUGUUUAUUUCACUAGCUUUGUAAAUCUUUGAAUCUAUUCCCGAUAUCAAUGGUCUCUCUUGAGAGUUAGUUAUGAAUGUUGAUAUUUCUAUUCCGCAAUGCUGACACGUGGAUAGGUGAUGAUAUGUGAUAUAUGUUGAGAAGGAAAUCUUGUUGUUGGGUAACAGAUAAAGACCUAUGUGUUAUGUCUAAAACUUGUCAUAACUUUACUGAAUCCUUUAGUGCAGCAGGAAGUAACUGUAAAUUGAAACCCUAAAUUCACUAGAAGUAACCGUCUUACUUUCUUUAAUUUGAGCAUCACAUCGUUCUUUUCUUACGUUAGUGCGUUUUUCUUUUAAUUUUUCGAGCAUUUCAUCCUAUACCUCCGUCAAAAGUUGUUGAUCCAAGACCUGGACCAGCCAAGCCUUCAGAGGAUGGAACACAGAGUCCUAAUUCAUUUCAAGAUCUGCAUAUUCCUGUGAAAAUGAUGGAAGAUUUCUUGAGACUGGCUCAACAAAAUACGAAAAAGAAUCUUGAAACAUGUGGAGUUCUAGCAGGUUCACUGCUGUUUAAGAUCAGUGAAGAUGUAGUAAUCGAUGCUACCAACAAAGGAAACAUUGCUCGCCUAAUCAACCACUCCGUGUUGUUCCAUUUUCUCAGCAACUUAUUGCGACUGAAAGAGCUUGGUUUGCAUGGCGUGAUUACUUUAAUUGAGCUUGGUGCACACUUUUUCUAUCUACUAGUUAGAUAUAGGAUUCUUGCCCCUGUAUCUAUAUUGCUGUAACUUUCUUAAUGCAAAUAAAUGAUCUCUAUUUAUGAAAAAUAAUGUGAUGUUUGUCCUUUUCUCUU